UACGUAGGGCGCAAGCGUUGUCCGGAAUUAUUGGGCGUAAAGAGCUCGUAGGCGGUUUGUCGCGUCUGCCGUGAAAGUCCGGGGCUCAACUCCGGAUCUGCGGUGGGUACGGGCAGACUAGAGUGAUGUAGGGGAGACUGGAAUUCCUGGUGUAGCGGUGAAAUGCGCAGAUAUCAGGAGGAACACCGAUGGCGAAGGCAGGUCUCUGAGCAUUAACUGACGCUGAGGAGCGAAAGCAUGGGGAGCGAACAGG
rnacentral:rRNA from 1 species